UUGGUUUACACCAGGGCUGAGCAGAAGCAUAGGAGGCAUGUGGCCAGAACAAAGGCUGCCCACCCAAUCUUCACCCCUCACCUUUGUCCACAAGCUUUCCCAGAACAGAUGGUAGUUUGGGAUCUUCUGGCCUUGAAUUAAUGGCAAUGGAAUUCACCUGACAAGAAGAAAAGACUGACUUCAAAGAAAUAUUGGACGCAAACUUGGCUGAACAUUAAAGAGCUGCAAGGCAAAAGAAAACCCGGGAAAUGUUUUUACUUCGGUUGCCAGUGGUCUGUGAAUAGCAUCGCCAG